AGAGUUUGAUCAUGGCUCAGGACGAACGCUGGCGGCGUGCUUAACACAUGCAAGUCAAGGGGGCCCAGCAAUGGGCAACCGGCGAACGGGUGCGUAACACGUGAGCAACCUACCGAACUGUGGGGGAUAGCCGGCCUAACGGCCGAGUAAUACCGCAUACGCUCUCAGUGAGGCAUUUCAUUGAGAGGAAACCUACGGGACAGAUCGAGGGGCUCGCGGCCUAUCAGCUAGUUGGCGAGGUAACGGCUCACCAAGGCAACGACGGGUAGCUGGUCUGAGAGGAUGGCCAGCCACAUUGGGACUGAGAUACGGCCCAGACUCCUACGGGAGGCAGCAGUGGGGAAUCUUGCGCAAUGGCCUAACGGCUGACGCAGCGACGCCGCGUGUGGGAUGAAGCUCCUCGGAGUGUAAACCACUGUUGCCCGGGACGAAUAGCUCGAUUAAUCGAGCCUGACGGUACCGGGUGAGGAAGCACCGGCUAACUCCGUGCCAGCAGCCGCGGUAAUACGGGGGGUGCGAGCGUUGUCCGGAAUCACUGGGCGUAAAGGGCGCGUAGGUGGUUUGAUAAGGGUGUGGUGAAAGUCCGGGGCUCAACCCCGGAUCUGCCGUGCCGACUGUCAAACUCGAGGACUGUAGAGGCAGACGGAAUUCCGGGUGUAGCGGUGGAAUGCGUAGAGAUCCGGAGGAAGACCGGUGGCGAAGGCGGUCUGCUGGGCAGUUUCUGACACUGAGGCGCGACAGCGUGGGGAGCAAACAGGAUUAGAUACCCUGGUAGUCCACGCCGUAAACGAUGGGUACUAGGUGCCUGGGGGAGCGACCCUCUGGGUGCCGGCGCUAACGCAGGAAGUACCCCGCCUGGGGAGUACGACCGCAAGGUUGAAACUCAAAGGAAUUGACGG
rnacentral:rRNA from 1 species